AUUGAACGCUGGCGGCAGGCCUAACACAUGCAAGUCGAGCGGCGCGGAGGACGGGUGAGUAAUGCAUAGGAAUAUGACUGGUCGUGGAGGAUGACGUCCGGUAACGGGAGCUAAUACAGCAUACUAUCAGCUGAGCCUAGGUCGGAUUAGCUAGUUGGUGGGGUAAAGGCCUACCAAGACGACGAUACGUAACUGGUCUGAGAGGAUGAUCAGUAACACUGGAACUGAGACACGGCCCAGACUCCUACGGGAGGCAGCAGUAGGGAAUAUUGGACAAUGGGCGAAAGCCUGACCCAGCCAUGCCGCGUGUGUGAAGAAGGUCUUCGGAUUGUAAAGCUCUUUAAGUUGGGAGGCGGUACCAACAGAAUAAGCACCGGCUAACUUCGUGCCAGCCGCCGCGGUAAUUC
rnacentral:rRNA from 1 species